rnacentral:lncRNA from 1 species
GGCGGGGCGGGGCCUGCUCGAGUGAGGCCGGGAGCGGACCGCAGCCCGCUGGAGGUGCCGGGGGCGAAAUGCUGGCGUCUGCUCCUCCGUCUCCCAGAAUCCUGCCCUGGAAAAAACCAGCGCCAACCGCCGGUUUAACUGAGGACGGAUUUAAGGCAUUACGAAAGACAGCUUUCCCCUUUGCUCGGCUCUCCUUCUCUCUCCUGCUGCCCUGUGAAGAGGUGUCUUCUGCCAUAAUUGAAGAGGAAGACAGAGCUCUUACCAGGGGGAGGCAGAGAUGGCACAGCAAGAGACAUGCCCCCAGAAUGCCACCAAUGCCCCAGGACAGGCCCACCCAUGGGACCAGGUUAUCGGGAUAACCUGGGAGGAUGGGGUGGAAUCUGAGGGGUGAGCCUUCUUCCCCAGGCUGGAAGUGGGCGACACGAGACUGGCACCUCUACAUCUGAUUGUCCCCCAAACCCAGCAUUUAUGUCGUGAGCAAAGAAAGAAAUCAUGUUACUUCUUCCAGCUGA